UCGUAACAAGGUUUCCGUAGGUUGUCUAGAAGGUUAGCCUACAAGAGUAGCCCUACAGGGCUGCUAGUCUCCUCGGAGGCGACACGUUCAAUGUGCGGAAAAACCCUCAUAGGGGGAAACCCGCAGCCAGCUGCCCUUACCCGGCAGUCGGCUCAGAGACUCAAUGAGCGUGGGCGCGGUCUGGCCGCGCUUGAGAUAGAGCCCGUCCUCGCUGGCAAUAGCGAGGAGAUAACGGAACCUGCGGAAGGAUCAUUA
rnacentral:ncRNA from 1 species